CGUGGAAGCUGCAGUUCGGUUGGUUUGGGGACUGGGCCUGGCCCAGGUGACUGCGGUGCGUUUUGUCUUUGGCCAGGAUCAGUUCCCGAAAGAGUUGCGGAGCGAACGUGAACGGGCCCCUUUCAGCCACACCUGAGCUCCGGUGAAUGCGCAGACUUCCGGGAAGCUCCGACCCAUGGGGGCGGCUUGCCGGGGGCGCCAUCACGUGGUUAGAAGGUUGGAAGGUUCCAGCCCACCUCCGCCUCCCGGGAGGGCAGAGGGGCCGGCGAUGGAGUUCAGUCCGCAGUGAUUCAGUGUUGGCAGUGACAGGAUGCAAAGGAGACUUCCGGUAACUUUGGAGACUAGGAGACAUGCGGGUGUGGUACCCUGAGCCCUUCGAAUGCUCUCGCUCACCGUUUCCAAGGACCAUCGCUGAUGGCCUUGUGAGGAGGAACCUGCUCUGACAUUCCUGUUCUCCCCUCUGCAGCCCAGCGCCUGGUGCAGAGCAGCCUUCCGUGGUUGUUGGGUUUAAGGAGAAGGAAGGGCACAGCCCCGUUCAUGCCCAUUCGUGUCUGAUUUUGCUCAAGACUCAAAAUCCCUCAAGAGUUCCAAGACAGAGCCAUCUGUCUCACGGUCAUGCGAUUACUAAUUGGAAAGGGUUGGUGCCUAAUUCAUACAGCUGGCACCUUCCAGCUCGUCUUGUUCGGGCCCCUGGAAAUUUCACAUUGCUAGUGAACCACUGCCGUUUGUAAUACAUCUGUAAUUCAUCAAUGUUGUCUGAUUUCUUAAGCAUUUUUUUUCACCUUGGAAUUGGCUCAUUUAAGGCGCUUAUGAGGCAGGAGUAAUGCAGCUCGCUGAAACAGACUGAAUAAAAGAUGAGACGCUACCUUUUUAUCUCCACGGUCAGACAGGCUUUUUCAUUGCAAGGUAAACUCGGAGAAUGCUUUGGAUUUCUUGGCCACAUGCCUUAUUUAGGAAGGGAAAUGGACGGAUAAUUCCUCUAACUUUU